rnacentral:rRNA from 1 species
GCGCACGGGUGCGUAACGCGUAUGCAACCUACCUCUUACUGGGGUAUAGCCCAGAGAAAUUUGGAUUAAUCCCCCAUAGUACCAUUUAAUCGCAUGGUUGAAUGGUUAAAGGUUACGGUAAGAGAUGGGCAUGCGUCCCAUUAGUUAGUUGGUGAGGUAAUGGCUCACCAAGACUCCGAUGGGUAGGGGUUCUGAGAGGAUGAUCCCCCACACUGGUACUGAGACACGGACCAGACUCCUACGGGAGGCAGCAGUGAGGAAUAUUGCGCAAUGGACGAAAGUCUGACGCAGCCAUGCCGCGUGCAGGAUGACGGCGCUACGCGUUGUAAACUGCUUUUAUU